rnacentral:rRNA from 1 species
GCCAGUGUCGAUAGCAUGUUAAAUGUGCCAGUUCUCCAUGGACCACUGGAGUUAAUCAACGCUGCGCGUGGUUAGUAUCCGGAGGGGUGACCAUUUACCUAUAAAAUACACAAGACCUUGUUC